ensembl:lncRNA Novel transcript, antisense to EPHA3
GCAGCAUGCUGAGAACAGCAGGACUGUCACCAGGCUCUGGAAAUGAGGCAGUCAUGGACAUGGAGGGAACUGGAAGCCAUUAUCCUCAGCAAACGAACACAGGAACAGAAAACCAAACACCGCAUAUUCUCACUUAUAAGUGGGAGCUGAAUGAUGAGAAGAGCAUUUUUACAAGGGAAAGAAUGAAUUUUCAAGUUUACACAAACAGCAAAGUGAGCACCUCCAUGUUUAUAGAACAUCAAUUCUCUCUUGUGUUUCACCGUGCUGUGCAAUAAGAUUUGUAUCUGAAGAGUUAUAAUAUGAUAAAAUAAAACUGGAUAGAAGUGGGUUCUCUUUUUGACCUAAUUUGGCCUGUCCUUCAGUUACUUUGCUUCUGCUCUCAUUUCACUAUGUGGCAAUGCAUAUGUAAAAUGUCAUCAUUGGUUGGGAAAUGCAUAUUGAGAUUAAAAGAGUUGUCGCAUUUUAGAAUUGGUUGUUUAUUCUUCUGUCAGAAAAUUAGCCAGAAGUUUUCUACGAAGUAAAAAUACGUAAUUCAGUUUUUCUUCCCUUAUAAUAUUAUUAGUAGUUUACUCCAUUUUGUUACUUUCUAUGUUCAGGUGCUCUAUUUCCCACCAUAUUCCCUCACCAGCCCCCACCAGAUAAAUGUCAGAAAGAAUGAAACAUUAUGUUUUUCCUCUGUUUCAGGAAGCUACCUACUUAGAAUUCCAUGACGUUUCAGUUACACAAGGGCUUGAAUCUUCAAAAAACCUAAUACCACUAAUCAGUUUAAACUUUUUUCACUUUGCUGUUGAUUCUAAUUCAUCAACAAUAAAUUCUUUCCAUUACCCAUAAUGAUAGUUAAAACUUGUUCAUGCCCUGUUACUGCACCUAAAAGCAAACUCCUUAAACCUGCACUUCCAAGAGUAGUUAUUUGUAUUGAUUGGAUCCAUGAUAAUUAUUUUGCCUGGCUUCUCCUGUAUCAAAUAA